GUCCAGGUAGAAUCGUCGAGAAGAAAACCCUCAGCUUGCAAUCUGGGAACAAGUUCAUUAGCAAUAUGGGGUGAUCCCUUUUUGCUUAAACUACGAAUAAUAGGCGCACGAUCUUUAGGGUUGCCAGCCUUCUUAGAAUUUCUGUAUCGUUUACGCUGAGGCUGUAGUGUUAUGGGUGCAUACUGCCUUUAAACCAAUCAAUUUGGUUUCAAGAGGAAGAGUUGCAGAGACAACUGAGAUAGCUCCCAUAUCUGUAUCAAUCAAUAAGAGGCUUAAAUCAUUUUGUAAGAAGCUGAAAUUUAUAUGGUUUACGAAGAAGGGGUUUUGAUUAAUUGAACCGUGAGGAAACAAAUUGAAACUUGAAAAGGCAGAAAAGAAUCGGGAUGUUGAAGUUGGAGUCCAAGGUAAAGCAAUUUUUUGACAAGAUGAUGGCGGCUACAAGGUUAUGGGAACAAAGGGGAUGGAUUAUUGACUUAUCUGCUAC
rnacentral:lncRNA from 1 species